rnacentral:rRNA from 1 species
CACGUAGAUGGCUUUGUAAGUCGGAUGUGAAAUCCCUGGGCUCAACCUGGGAACUGCAUUCGAAACUGCAUUGCUCGAAUGUGGAAGAGGGAAGCGGAAUUCCAGGUGUAGCGGUGAAAUGCGUAGAUAUCUGGAGGAACAUCAGUGGCGAAGGCGGCUUCCUGAUCCAACAUUGACAUUCAGGUGCGAAAGCGUGGGGAGCAAACAGGAUUAGAUACCCUGGUAGUCCACGCCUUAAACUAUGAGAACUAGAUGGUCGGGGGGGUUAGCCUCUCGGUGUCGCAGCUAACGCGCUAAGUUCUCCGCCUGGGGAGUACGGCCGCAAGGUUGAA